rnacentral:lncRNA from 1 species
AUAUAUUAAAAUUUUAUGAUGGUUUGGUGCACUUAUGAUAAAACAUAAAUGGUGUGGAAAUAUUUUUUUUCUAAAAAACAAAAAUUAAUUGUCACGCCGAAAAGGAUGAACAGGGACCGUAGGAAAGUGGUCGUUCAUGAUUGUCGAAUUUGGGACCCAUUGCGGGACCACAGCACCACAGCUUGGCCGCAACGGAUGCGAACUGCCGAAUUGCAUUCUUUACUUGCCAUAAAUAGACAGUAUAAAACUUCAGAGCAUGUCUUUUAUUUGGGUCCGCCUGUAAUAAAGCGCUGCAUAAGAUACAGCGGAAGUUUAAUUUUUUAUUUUAAAUUUAUUGGCCGUUAGAUUACUUUAUAAGCAAUCCAACGGCUUCGUAAUUUUAGGCAUAAAAUAGGUCACCGAAACAGAUGGUGGGACACUGGAAUCGGCAAAUAUCCUGGUAAUUAUCACUUUGCUCCCUCAUCUUUUAACUAAAUAUUAAAGACUUCAUUUAAUUUAGACGACUAUCAAAGACCCCCUAACAUAAUAAUAUAUUUUAAAACAUGUAAUGUUGUAAAUAACGUGAAUAAUAUUUAUAUUAGUGUAAACUAUAUUAAUUAUAAAUCAAUGCAAUC